GACACGGUCCAAACUCCUACGGGAGGCAGCAGUGAGGAAUAUUGGUCAAUGGACGCAAGUCUGAACCAGCCAAGUAGCGUGCAGGAAGACGGCCCUCUGGGUUGUAAACUGCUUUUAGUUGGGAAUAAAGUGCACCACGUGUGGUGUUUUGUAUGUACCAUCAGAAAAAGGACCGGCUAAUUCCGUGCCAGCAGCCGCGGUAAUACGGAAGGUUCAGGCGUUAUCCGGAUUUAUUGGGUUUAAAGGGAGCGCAGGCGGACCUUUAAGUCAGCUGUGAAAUACGGCGGCUCAACCGUCGAACUGCAGUUGAUACUGGAGGUCUUGAGUGCACACAGGGAUACUGGAAUUCAUGGUGUAGCGGUGAAAUGCUCAGAUAUCAUGAAGAACUCCGAUCGCGAAGGCAGGUAUCCGGGGUGCAACUGACGCUGAGGCUCGAAAGUGCGGGUAUCAAACAGGAUUAGAUACCCUGGUAGUCCGCACAGUAAACGAUGAAUACUCGCGAUUUGCGAUACACAGUAAGUCGCCAAGCGAAAGCGUUAAGUAUUCCACCUGGGGAGUACGCCGGCAACGGUGAAACUCAAAGGAAUUGACGGGGGCCCGCACAAGCGGAGGAACAUGUGGUUUAAUUCGAUGAUACGCGAGGAACCUUACCCGGGCUUGAACUGCCAGUGACGGUAGCAGAGACGCUACUUUCUUCGGACACUGGUGGAGGUGCUGCAUGGUUGUCGUCAGCUCGUGCCGUGAGGUGUCGGCUUAAGUGCCAUAACGAGCGCAACCCUCAUUCUCGUUUGCCAUCAGGUUAUGCUGGGCACUCCGGGGAUACUGCCAUCGUAAGAUGUGAGGAAGGUGGGGAUGACGUCAAAUCAGCACGGCCCUUACGUCCGGGGCUACACACGUGUUACAAUGGGCGGUACAGAGGGCAGCCACCUAGCGAUAGGGAGCCAAUCCUCAAAGCCGUUCUCAGUUCGGACUGGAGUCUGCAACCCGACUCCACGAAGCUGGAUUCGCUAGUAAUCGCGCAUCAGCCAUGGCGCGGUGAAUACGUUCCCGGGCCUUGUACACACCGCCCGUCAAGCCAUGAAAGCCGGGAGCACUUGAAGGCCGUGACCGCAAGGGUCGGUCUAGAGUGAUACUGGUAAUUGGGGCUAAGUCGUAACAAGGUAGCCGUACCGGAAGGUGCGGCUG
rnacentral:rRNA from 1 species